GGUAGUGUAUUGGACUACCAUGGCAAUGACGGGUGACGGAGAAUUAGGGUUCGAUUCCGGAGAGGGAGCCUGAGAAACGGCUACCACAUCUAAGGAAGGCAGCAGGCGCGCAAAUUACCCAAUCCUAACUCAGGGAGGUAGUGACAAGAAAUAACAACGCGGGGCAAAGUCUCGUGAUUGGAAUGAGGACAAUGUAAAASCCUUAUCGAGGAUCCACUGGAGGGCAAGUCUGGUGCCAGCAGCCGCGGUAAUACCAGCUCCAGUAGCGUAUAUUAAAGUUGUUGCAGUUAAAAAGCUCGUAGUUGAAGUUCUGUACGGAUUGAGUCUCCACGGAGACACAAGCCGUGCAUCCGUCUGAUUCUUCAGACACUUUACCUUGAGCAAAUUAGAGUGUUCCAGGCAGGCGCCAGCCUGAAUAGUCCAGCAUGGAAUAAUAGAAAAGGACGAAGAGCCACUGUUGGUGCGUGGCCCUUAGUAAUGAUUAAUAGGGAUAGUUGGGGGCAUUCGUAUUUAAUUGUCAGAGGUGAAAUUCUAUGAUUUAUUAAAGACGAACCUAUGCGAAAGCAUUGC
rnacentral:rRNA from 1 species